UGGGGAAUAUUGCACAAUGGGGGAAACCCUGAUGCAGCCAUGCCGCGUGUGUGAAGAAGGCCUUCGGGUUGUAAAGCACUUUCAGUCGUGAGGAAGGGUGUGCAGUUAAUAGCUGUCCAUUUUGACGUUAGCGACAGAAGAAGCACCGGCUAACUCCGUGCCAGCAGCCGCGGUAAUACGGAGGGUGCGAGCGUUAAUCGGAAUUACUGGGCGUAAAGCGCAUGCAGGCGGUCUGUUAAGCAAGAUGUGAAAGCCCGGGGCUCAACCUCGGAACAGCAUUUUGAACUGGCAGACUAGAGUCUUGUAGAGGGGGGUAGAAUUUCAGGUGUAGCGGUGAAAUGCGUAGAGAU
rnacentral:rRNA from 1 species